CCCUUAGAUGUUCUGGGCCGCACGCGCGUUACACUGAUGAAUGCAACGAGCUCUACCCUUGACCGAAAGGCCCGGGUAAACUUGUGAAACUUCAUCGUGAUGGGGAUAGAUUAUUGCAAUUAUUAAUCUUCAACGAGGAAUUCCUAGUAAGCGCGAGUCAUCAGCUCGCGUUGAUUACGUCCCUGCCCUUUGUACACACCGCCCGUCGCUCCUACCGAUUGAAUGGUCCGGUGAAAUCUUCGGAUUGCUGACCAAGAUCCAGCAAUGGAGCUUGGUUGCGAGAAGUUGAUUAAACCUUAUUAUUUAGAGGAAGGAGAAGUCGUAACA
rnacentral:rRNA from 1 species